ensembl:lncRNA
GAGGAAAGGCUGACGUCGGGGUGACGCGCUGAGUUAAUCUCAUUUGACGUCACGUCUCGUCUUGGUUCUCCUGCGGCGAUUGGCUGGACCUAUUUGGGGAUUCCACCCCCCCCAACUGUGUGUCAAGGUUACAAAAGCCUAUGUCGGAGCCGCACCCAUUGAGGGGUAAUAGUGGACCGAACGCUGUAACGGUCAACCUGUUCUUGUGGUCCGUGGGGAAGAUCCCCAUUCGGUAUGGGUGAAAGCAGGACAGACUUGAAGUUACCAAAUCGGCUGUAGUCUUCAGUAGCUGUGUGAGAUUGUAUGGAACAACUUAAGCACAAAAUUAUACCAGAGGAUUAAAUGUGUUUUGAGUGGUGGGCAUGAUACAAUAGAGUUGGACCUCAGAGUCUUUCAAAACCAACUCAUACGUGUGUGAUUUCAUAGGAAUGAAAUGUGCACUGGAGCUCAUAUAUGAUCAGGAUUAUGCCUUUUAUGGGGCAUGGGAAAACCAUACUGUUUGGGGUUUCUUCUUUCAGAAGUGUAGAAGAGUAGAACUGACCUAGGUGAAAAGAGACACUGAUACCACCCAUUUUCUGUGUUUUGUUUGAGGUCUGUGCGUUUCAUUUGACAGGGCUGUAAGAAAACCUGACUAGGUUUUAGGCUAGGAGGUCUUACCGAGGUUAAAUGGAGGAGGUAGAGGCCAAAGUGUGAGGAGAUUUGGCUAACUUUCCAGUCCAGUUUACGCUGUGUCUGUGCAUGGCUAGAGGAGGGUGUCUACAGCAGUCCACUUUAAGCCGUGUGUGGAUAGACUAGAUAGGUUUCCCCUGAGAAGGUCAAUUAAUUGGAUGAUCAGAAACACAAGACAAAAGCAAACAAUUGCCAAGUUGAGGCUGGGAGACUGACUGUGGAAGGUUCUAGGCCAGGCCAGUCUGGGAUACAAAUCGAGCCCUGUCUCAGAAAACAACAGCAACAAAAUAGAAACAACAACAGCAGCAGCAGCAGCAACAACAACAACAACAAAAGCUGUGAAAGAUUUAAAAGCAGGGAUAUGGGCUGGAGAGAUGGCUCAGCGGUUAAGAGCACCCAACUACUCUUCCAGAGGUCCUGAGUUCAAUUCCCAGCAACCACAUGGUGGCUCACACCUCUUCUGGUGUGUCUGAAGACAGCCUCAGUG